GAGGUACUCCCUCCGUCCGGAAAUACUUGUCAUCAAAAUGAAUAAAAGGGGAUGUAUCUAGAUGUAUAUUAGUUCUAGAUACAUCUUUUUUAUCCAUUUUGAUGACAAGUAUUUUCGGACGGAGAGGGAGUACUAC
rnacentral:pre_miRNA from 1 species